UUUCCCUCAGGAUAGCUGGUACUCUUGCAAACCUCACACAGUUUUAUCUGGCAAAGCAAAUGAUUAGAUGUCUUGGGACCCAAACAAGCUCAACCUAUUCUCAAAUUCUAAAUGGGUAAGAAACCUAACUCACUGGUAUGGAGCUGGGGCGGGGUGGGGACGU
rnacentral:ncRNA from 1 species